CCUACGGGAGGCUGCAGUGGGGAAUUUUGGACAAUGGGCGCAAGCCUGAUCCAGCCAUUCCGCGUGAGUGAAGAAGGCCUUCGGGUUGUAAAGCUCUUUCGCAAGGGAAGAAACGAUAUAGACGAAUAAUCUAUGUUAAUGACGGUACCUUGAUAAGAAGCACCGGCUAACUACGUGCCAGCAGCCGCGGUAAUACGUAGGGUGCGAGCGUUAAUCGGAAUUACUGGGCGUAAAGCGUGCGCAGGCGGUUUUGUAAGUCAGAUGUGAAAUCCCCGGGCUCAACCUGGGAACUGCGUUUGAAACUACAAGGCUAGAGUAUAGGAGAGGGGGGUAGAAUUCCACGUGUAGCAGUGAAAUGCGUAGAGAUGUGGAGGAAUACCAAUGGCGAAGGCAGCCCCCUGGCCUAAUACUGACGCUCAUGCACGAAAGCGUGGGGAGCA
rnacentral:rRNA from 1 species